ACUCAAAGGAAUAGACGGGGACCCGCACAAGCGGUGGAGCAUGUGGUUUAAUUCGACGCAACGCGAAGAACCUUACCAGGGCUUGACAUCCCUCGCAAUCCAUAGAAAUAUGGAGUUUUAUCUUACGGGAUAGACGAGGAGACAGGUGGUGCAUGGUUGUCGUCAGCUCGUGUCGUGAGAUGUUGGGUUAAGUCCCGCAACGAGCGCAACCCCUACUUUUAGUUGCCAGCAUUAGGUUGGGCACUCUAAAGGAACUGCCGGUGACAAACCGGAGGAAGGUGGGGAUGACGUCAAAUCAUCAUGCCCUUUAUGUUCUGGGCUACACACGUGCUACAAUGGCCGGUACAGAGGGCAGCGAAGGAGCGAUCCGGAGCGAAUCCCAAAAAGCCGGUCUCAGUUCGGAUUGCAGGCUGCAACUCGCCUGCAUGAAGUCGGAAUCGCUAGUAAUCGCGAGUCAGCAUAUCGCGGUGAAUACGUUCCCGGGUCUUGUACACACCGCCCGU
rnacentral:rRNA from 1 species